rnacentral:pre_miRNA from 1 species
UAAACAAAUUAUUGUAUUCGACUGUAUUCACGACACAAUUCAUGAUCUAUUCAGCUGUUUUUAAACGAAAAGUGAAUCAAUUAACAUAAUAGACUCUC